UACGGAGGAUCCGAGCGUUAUCCGGAUUUAUUGGGUUUAAAGGGUGCGUAGGCGGCCUAUUAAGUCAGGGGUGAAAGACGGUAGCUUAACUAUCGCAGUGCCUUUGAUACUGAUAGGCUUGAAUGUACUUGAGGUAGGCGGAAUGUGACAAGUAGCGGUGAAAUGCAUAGAUAUGUCACAGAACACCAAUUGCGAAGGCAGCUUACUAAAGUAUGAUUGACGCUGAGGCACGAAAGCGUGGGGAGCGAACAGG
rnacentral:rRNA from 1 species